rnacentral:rRNA from 1 species
UACGUAGGGGACGAGCGUUGUCCGGAAUUACUGGGAGUAAAGGGCGCGCAGGCGGUAUAUCAAGUCAGCUGUCAAAGACUGGGGCUCAACCCUGGUAUGCGGUUGAAACUGAUAUGCUGGAGUGCUGUAGAGGCAAGUGGAAUUCCCAGUGUAGCGGUGAAAUGCGUAGAUAUUGGGAAGAACACCGGUGGCGAAGGCGACUUGCUGGGCAGCAACUGACGCUGAGGCGCGAAAGCCAGGGGAGCAAACGGGGAUUAGA